CAAACCUGCAAAAGUAUUGGAAAAUGAGCACGCAAAGAUACUGUGGGACUUCCGAAUCCAGACUGACAAAGUUCUAGAACACAACACACCAGACAUCACAGUUGUGGAAAAGAAAAAGGUUUGGAUCAUUGAUGUCACUAUCCCAGGUGACAGUCGCAUUGACGAAAAACAACAGGAAAAACUCAGCCGCUAUCAGGACCUCAGGAUUGAACUUCAAAGACUCUGGCAGAAACCAGUGCAGGUGGUCCCGGUGGUGAUGGGCACACCACCGGAUGCCCAUCACCACCCGGUGCCAAAAGAGCUCAGCUGGCAUUUGGAAACAAUAGACAUUGACAAAAUUACGAUCUGCCAACUGCAAAAGGCCACCCUGCUGGGAUCUGCACGCAUCAUCCGAAAAUACAUCACCCAGUCCUAGACACUUGGGAAGUGUUCGACUUGUGAUUUUGUGAUAUGAAAUCCAGCAUAUCUAUCUUGUUUGCUGUGUAAUAAUAAUAAUAAUAAUAAUAAUAAUGAGGGUUGGAAGAUGCCCCUUGGGCCAUUUUGUUAUGAUUGAGCCUCGUGGCUCUGUUACUGACAGGCGUGGGCGUAAGACUCCUCGAGAGUCAGAUACUCUCGAUGAGCGAGAGAGAAAAAGACUGCGAGACAUAUUUGCAGCACCAUCUGAUGAAGAGUCUUUCGAGGGGUUUACGGAGAGAAUGGAGGAGGGGCAGGUUAGCUCGGAGGAGGAUGAGAUGGAUUGGACUCGGGUAAGGGAGGAAUUGGGUGCCACUGGCCAUGAUGGGGCAGAAGAUGAAUGGGGACCUUCAGGAUCAGAUCCAUGGCUUAGCUGGAGGGAUGGGACGGGAUCCACAGCUGGAGAUGCUGCUGGGCGUAGUCAGAGGUGUUCCAGCUCUGACGAGGAAAGUGAUGAGGAAACGCCCGGGUUAAGGAGGACAGCUGACAGUGAUGAAGAUUUGUAACUGGCAUAAAAUGGGGCUUGAGAGCAAUUGCAAAUUGCGUUGGGCAAGGUAAUCUGGGCAAACGCUUGGGAUCCGUGUGUGUGUGGGACGCUUCCCUGAAGACUUGUGUGCUUUCCUGUGCUGAGACCUUGACCUUCCGUCGUCUUCUUGACGGACGCCAUCUCCUGCUUUGAAUACCCGGACUGAACUGACCACGGCUUGGCUUCAUCCCCUUCUUGGACUUGGGAAAACUACAAACGUCUGCUUCUGGCUUUGAACUACGGAACGGAACUGGUCUACUCUACUGUUGCAUUCCCUGGCUGAUUUGUUCGUGCUGGAAAUCCUGUCUGCUGUGUGUGUGUGGGAGCGACGCAAGUUACUGUAAACACUGUGUUGGCAGCAGAGAGGAAUCUGCUGCCAAUUAGCUGCAUUCUUUGUAUCUUUUGUUCUUGGCUCUCGUUUUGUUUAUAUUCAGGCUGAAGCAAGCAGUUUGUUUUUUACCCGGAUUAAACUCCGGUUUAAUCCGGUUUAUCUUUUGAACAUUUAUUUUGCCCCUUUUUGCUCCUAAAGGCAAAUACUGCCUGGCCCUUGUGUUUUACGGGCUUGUUUUGAGUUCUGUAACCUAAUAAACUCUGUUACUUUGAA